GAUGAACGCUGGCGGCGUGCUUAACACAUGCAAGUCGAACGGAAAGGCUCCUGCUUGCAGGGGUACUCGAGUGGCGAACGGGUGAGUAACACGUGGGUGAUCUGCCCUGCACUUCGGGAUAAGCCUGGGAAACUGGGUCUAAUACCGGAUAGGACCACAUUUUGGAUGGUGUGGUGGAAAGUUUUUCGGUGUGGGAUGAGCUCGCGGCCUAUCAGCUUGUUGGUGGGGUAAUGGCCUACCAAGGCGUCGACGGGUAGCCGGCCUGAGAGGGUGUACGGCCACAUUGGGACUGAGAUACGGCCCAGACUCCUACGGGAGGCAGCAGUGGGGAAUAUUGCACAAUGGGCGCAAGCCUGAUGCAGCGACGCCGCGUGGGGGAUGACGGCCUUCGGGUUGUAAACUCCUUUCGCUAGGGACGAAGCGUUUUUGUGACGGUACCUGGAGAAGAGGCACCGGCUAACUACG
rnacentral:rRNA from 1 species